rnacentral:rRNA from 1 species
CCUACGGGAGGCAGCAGUAGGGAAUCUUCCGCAAUGGACGAAAGUCUGACGGAGCAACGCCGCGUGAACGAUGAAGGCCUUCGGGUCGUAAAGUUCUGUUGUUAGGGAAGAACAAGUGCUAGUUAAAUAAGCUGGCACCUUGACGGUACCUAACCAGAAAGCCACGGCUAACUACGUGCCAGCAGCCGCGGUAAUACGUAGGUGGCAAGCGUUGUCCGGAAUUAUUGGGCGUAAAGCGCGCGCAGGCGGUUUCUUAAGUCUGAUGUGAAAGCCCCCGGGCUCAACCGGGGAGGGUCAUUGGAAACUGGGAAACUUGAGUGCAGAAGAGGAAAGUGGAAUUCCAAGUGUAGCGGUGAAAUGCGUAGAGAUUUGGAGGAACACCAGUGGCGAAGGCGACUUUCUGGUCUGUAACCUGACGCUGAGGCGCGAAAGCGUGGGGAGCAAACAGGAUUAGAUACCCUGGUAGUCCACGCUGUAAACCGAUGAGUGCUAAGUGUUAGAGGGUUUUACCGCCCUUUAGUGCUGAAGUUAACGCAUUAAGCACUCCGCCUGGGGANCGGUCGCAAGACUGAAACUCAAAUGAAUUGACGG